GCAAUGGGAGAGUGCAGGAAUGAUGGCUUUUCCUUCAUUGAGAUAGAGUUGUUAGUAGCAAUCCCUAAACUCCAAAAUUUCUUAGCCAGUGCAGGAUGAGGGCUCACCUAUCACAUAAAGGCUUGACUACCUGCAGGAGUCCCCAUAUCCUUAGGCUUGACUUCCUCUUGAGGGUCAUCCGUCAGAGAGGCUUGACCACAGAAGUAAAUUUAACAAUGGCUCGAUAUUGACA
rnacentral:lncRNA from 1 species